rnacentral:rRNA from 1 species
AGCGAACGCUGGCGGCAUGCCUAACACAUGCAAGUCGCACGGGGGGGCUUCGGCCUCCCAGUGGCGGACGGGUGAGGAACGCGUAGGGACCUGUCGAGGGGUGGGGGAUAACCGCGGGAAACUGCGGCUAAUACCGCAUGACGCCGCGGCGUGACAGCCGGGGCCAAAGGCGAAAGCCGCCCGCCGAGGGGCCUGCGUCCGAUUAGCUGGUUGGCGGGGUAGCGGCCCAGCAAGGCGUCGAUCGGUAGCUGGUCUGAGAGGGUGAUCAGCCACACCGGGACUGCGACACGGCCCGGACUCCUACGGGAGGCAGCAGUGGGGAAUAUUGGACGAUGGGCGCAAGCCUGAUCCCGCAGUGCCGCGUGGGUGAAGAAGGUCUUCGGAUUGUAAAGCCCUUUCGGCGGGGACGAUGGUGACGGUACCCGCAGAAGAAGCCCCGGCUAACUUCGUG